UACGGAGGGUGCAAGCGUUAUCCGGAUUCACUGGGUUUAAAGGGUGCGUAGGUGGGUCUGUAAGUCAUACGUGAAAUCCCUCAGCUUAACUGGGGAACUGCGUGUGAUACUGGAUGGCUUGGAUUUGGGAGAGGGAUGCAGAAUUCCAGGUGUAGCGGUGAAAUGCGUAGAUAUCUGGAGGAAUACCGGUGGCGAAGGCGGCAUCCUGGACCGAGAUUGACACUGAUGAGCGAAAGCCAGGGGAGCAAACGGG
rnacentral:rRNA from 1 species